rnacentral:rRNA from 1 species
UUCCGUAGGGGUGACCUGCGGAAGGAUCAUUACCGAGUGAGGGCCCUCUGGGUCCAACCUCCCACCCGUGUCUAUCGUACCUUGUUGCUUCGGCGGGCCCGCCGUUUCGACGGCCGCCGGGGAGGCCUUGCGCCCCCGGGCCCGCGCCCGCCGAAGACCCCAACAUGAACGCUGUUCUGAAAGUAUGCAGUCUGAGUUGAUUAUCGUAAUCAGUUAAAACUUUCAACAACGGAUCUCUUGGUUCCGGCAUCGAUGAAGAACGCAGCGAAAUGCGAUAAGUAAUGUGAAUUGCAGAAUUCAGUGAAUCAUCGAGUCUUUGAACGCACAUUGCGCCCCCUGGUAUUCCGGGGGGCAUGCCUGUCCGAGCGUCAUUGCUGCCCUCAAGCACGGCUUGUGUGUUGGGCCCCCGUCCCCCUCUCCCGGGGGACGGGCCCGAAAGGCAGCGGCGGCACCGCGUCCGGUCCUCGAGCGUAUGGGGCUUUGUCACCUGCUCUGUAGGCCCGGCCGGCGCCAGCCGACACCCAACUUUAUUUUUCUAAGGUUGACCUCGGAUCAGGUAGGUCCC